CGAGUACACGCGACAAAUAUAUAUCACACUAUACAGUAUAUACGACUCUUGCUCUUACUCUCUACGAAUUCUACGUGACUACUACAGUCAGUUUACUACGGCUUCAUAAAAAUUUACAAAUACAUUCAAAACCGGUUUGUUGGAAAGAGAGAGAUGGAGACAUUGGAUUGAGCAUGUGUGUGAAAUUAAUGAAAUCGAGUAUAAUACGAGUGCCUACGAAAAGCGACACGUCACGUUGUGAUCUUUCUUGAGAGUUCAAUAAUUUGAAUUUAGGUGGCGCGAAAAUUAAGUUCUGAUAUCGAUUGAAUGUACGGGCGAUUUCUCAUGUUACCAACAGAAAUCCAAAAAGAAAAAAGUCAACUACGCGCACUAUACUUUUUUUUUUUGACACUUGAAUUGUUUUUUUCCCGGCUGUUAUAGUUGGAUUAGCGAGAGUUUGUGUUUCGGAUAUUUUCGGUUUUUACCCCCACCAUCUAAAUUUAGUACCUAAGACAUUGCGCCUUGAUGGUGGGGGUAAAAAACCGAAGCGCAAACUCUCGCUAAUCCAACUAUAUUAUUCUCUGAAAUUUACAAUUUUAGAAUAAAAUUUUUUUAAAUUAAUUUUUUUUUAAUGCUGUUUGUAAUGUUAAUUUGUUAUGAUCCAGAAAUGAGCAAUGUGUGAAUGUAGCAGACAUGAAACAUUUGAUAAAUUUUGAAUAAAUAAAUAAAUGAUUUAAAAUAAUGAAGUUUAAAAAAGUGUGCGUACGGAUUUUUCAUUGAUCUAAAUAUGUACGCAUUUUUAAAUUUUUAUUUAACUUACAUUUUAUGCAUUUCUUCAAAAAUUUAAAAAAUUCCCAUCUGUCAGUUACAUUCAUACUCAUAAAUUAGCAGACAAUUAACAAUUUUCGGAUUUGUUUUCAACAAAUUAAUUAAAAAAAAAAAAUAAAA